rnacentral:rRNA from 1 species
GAUGAACGCUGGCGGCGUGCUUAACACAUGCAAGUCGAACGAAGCACUUUGAAACAAUCCCUCGGGUGCGUUUCUUUGUGACUUAGUGGCGGACGGGUGAGUAACGCGUGGGUAACCUGCCUCAUGCAGGGGGAUAACAGUUAGAAAUGACUGCUAAUACCGCAUAAGCGCACAGUACCGCAUGGUACAGUGUGAAAAGAUUUAUCAGCAUGAGAUGGACCCGCGUCUGAUUAGCUAGUUGGUGAGGUAACGGCUCACCAAGGCGACGAUCAGUAGCCGACUUGAGAGAGUGAGCGGCCACAUUGGGACUGAGACACGGCCCAAACUCCUACGGGAGGCAGCAGUGGGGAAUAUUGCACAAUGGGGGAAACCCUGAUGCAGCGACGCCGCGUGAGCGAUGAAGUAUUUCGGUAUGUAAAGCUCUAUCAGCAAGGAAGAUAAUGACGGUACUUGACUAAGAAGCCCCGGCUAACUACGUGCCAGCAGCCGCAGUAAUAC